AUGGCCAUGCCGUCCACCGCGUCUUGCUGCUUCGCCUCCUCCUCAUCCCCCCAUGGCCGGCCCCGCCUCCGCCUCCUCCUGACCCACACCACCACUGCCUGGACCCCCGCGCGCAUCCGCCUCGUCUCCCGCUCCGCCCCUUUCCCCCGGAACCUCCUCCCGGUCUCCUCCUCGUCCCAGCCGACGCCGGAUGUCGCCGGAGACCAAGGGGAAGACCUCACCGCCCAGGGGGGCAGGGAGGUGGAGGAGGACCGGGACGAGCGGUACGGUUUCGAGAUGGAGGUGCGGAAGCUGCCGGGGAAGAAGAACCGGCGGCUGGUGCGCGCGCGGGUGCGGGUCGGCGCGCCGCUCCGGGCCGUCUGGGCCACGCUCACCGACUACGAGGGCCUCGCCGGCUUCAUUCCCGGCCUCUCCGAGUGCCGCCUCCUCCACCAGGACAAAGCCUUCGCCCGCCUCUACCAGGUCGGGGAGCAGGAUCUGGCGCUGGGGUUCAAGUUCAACGCCAAGGGCACCAUAGACUGCUACGAGGGGGAGAUGGAGCUGCUCCCGGAGUCCGGGGCACGCCGCCGGGAGAUCGACUUCAACAUGGUGGACGGUGAUUUCAAGGUCUUCCAGGGCAAAUGGUCUGUCCAAGAGGUCGAUGGUGCAGGAAUUUCAGCGGCGCAGGAAUUUCAGACUACGCUUUCGUAUGUGGUGGAGCUGGAGCCUAAGCUCUGGGUUCCGGUUCGGCUACUGGAAGGGAGGAUCUGCAAGGAGAUCAAAACCAACCUUAUUUGUAUCCGAGAAGAAGCAGAGAGGAUCCAAAGGUUACUGGACGAGUGA
rnacentral:rRNA from 1 species